GGCAAUUUGGCCGAGCGGUCUAAGGCGCCGUCUUCAGGUACUCCUGACGGAACUCUGAUUGGCGGUCCGAAAGGGCGUGGGUUCGAAUCCCACAGUUGUCA